rnacentral:rRNA from 1 species
GCAUAACGCGAAGAACCUUACCCACCUUUGACAUGUACGGAAUCCUUUAGAGAUAGAGGAGUGCUCGAAAGAGAGCCGUAACACAGGUGCUGCAUGGCUGUCGUCAGCUCGUGUCGUGAGAUGUUGGGUUAAGUCCCGCAACGAGCGCAACCCUUGCCAUUAGUUGCUACGAAAGGGCACUCCAAUGGGACUGCCGGUGACAAACCGGAGGAAGGUGGGGAUGACGUCAAGUCCUCAUGGCCCUUAUAGGUGGGGCUACACACGUCAUACAAUGGCUGGUACAAAGGGUUGCCAACCCGCGAGGGGGAGCUAAUCUCAGAAAGUGCGUCGUAGUCCGGAUUGCUCUCUGCAACUCGAGAGCAUGAAGUCGGAAUCGCUAGUAAUCGCGGAUCAGCAUGUCGCGGUGAAUACGUUCCCGGGUCUUGUACACACCG